GAUGAACGCUGACCGAAUGCUUAACACAUGCAAGUCUUUGGCGAAGCUGUGCUUGCACAGCCUAGCCAAGGCGGACGGGUGAGUAACGCGUAAGGAACUUGCCCUGCAGUCAGGGAUAACAGACGGAAACGACUGAUAAGACCUGGUAAAGUCAGGCGGACUCAUGUCCAGCCUGAUGAAAAGAGAUGCUGCAGGAGAGCCUUGCGUCCUAUUAGCUUGUUGGUGGGGUAACGGCCCACCAAGGCGAUGAUAGGUAGCCGGCCUGAGAGGGUGGACGGCCACAAGGGGACUGAGAUACGGCCCUUACUCCUACGGGAGGCAGCAGUGGGGAAUAUUGGACAAUGGGGGCAACCCUGAGCCAGCAAUGCUGUGUGCACGAUGAAGGUUUUCGGAUUGUAAAGUGCUUUCAGCAGGGAAGAAAAAAUGACGGUACCUGCAGAAGAAGCGACGGCUAAAUACGUG
rnacentral:rRNA from 1 species